rnacentral:rRNA from 1 species
GUACGACUCUCGACAGUGGAUAUCUCGACCCCAGCAACGAUGAAGAACGUAGCGAAGUGCGAUACUUGGUGUGAAUUGCAGAAUCCUGUGAAUCAUUAAAUCUUUGAAUGCAAGUUGCGCCCAAGGCCCCGACCCAGGGCACAACUACCUAGGCAUCGCAG